rnacentral:rRNA from 1 species
GAUGAACGCUGGCGGCGUGCCUAAUACAUGCAAGUCGAGCGAACAGAUGAGGAGCUUGCUCCUCUGACGUUAGCGGCGGACGGGUGAGUAACACGUGGAUAACCUACCUAUAAGACUGGGAUAACUUCGGGAAACCGGAGCUAAUACCGGAUAAUAUAUUGAACCGCAUGGUUCAAUAGUGAAAGACGGUUUUGCUGUCACUUAUAUAUGGAUCCGCGCCGCAUUAGCUAGUUGGUAAGGUAACGGCUUACCAAGGCAACGAUGCGUAGCCGACCUGAGAGGGUGAUCGGCCACGCUGGAACUGAGACACGGUCCAGACUCCUACGGGAGGCAGCAGUAGGGAAUCUUCCGCAAUGGGCGAAAGCCUGACGGAGCAACGCCGCGUGAGUGAUGAAGGUCUUCGGAUCGUAAAACUCUGUUAUUAGGGAAGAACAAAUGUGUAAGUAACUAUGCACGUCUUGACGGUACCUAAUCAGAAAGCCACGGCUAACUACGUG